AUGCUCAAAUCUAUGGAAUUUUACACAAUUUUUCAAGUUUCCCAUUUGAAAACUAUCUUCAGACUAUUAAGAGACUUGUGCGCAAACCAAAAUUGCCACUCCAACAAGUGAUACGCCGUCUUGCAGAAAGGGAACAUGUGAAAAAAAAAAUCAAAUCUUCACAAACAUUUUGUAAAAAAGAACAUCACAGAGGACCAGUCCCAGAAGAAUACCAUCAAUGCAAACAAUAUAAAGAACUUCACAUGGAAAAAAAUUUUUUAUCAGUUAAACAACUGGAUAAUGCUAUAUAUGUUUGACAAACACCUUUCAUCAUAAAAAAUAUAAUCACUUUCAAUCAAGAACGGAAAUUGAUAUGUCAACCAUUUGUGACAAAAGAAAAAUUUUUUAUAUAUCCAGUGGAAUCUAGUAGACUACACAUAUGGUCCGUGAAUAAUCCGAGUGGUCAAUUAGUGAGCAUCAGUCCAGAGCAGAUCAAAUCAAAAUUAGUUUUAUUACCAUUAAAUAACCAAUUUAUUACUUUACCCCUUCUGUGAUAAACAUGCAUAACUUUAUUAACUUUUAUAACAUUUGUAUCACAGGGAGAUUAUGUCUGGCUCAAAGUUCAACAUCGUAUAUUUCCCUGAGGAAAAUUCAGUGGCAGUGGCCCCUGAUGAAUGGGUCAAAGGUGAUAAGUGCCUUUGGGCCCCCAAGACAGUUAUGAGAGGUGGAAGAGCCAUAGAGGAGUGUGUGCCACCAGAUUGUGAUUGGGCUGUGUAUGACUGCAAAGUGUUGAAGUCUACUAGAGACACCUGCCACCCAGACUUGCAGAAGAGGAAUCUGAUGACAGUGACAUACAGCCAUUGAGUAAAAAGGGGAGGAAGCCCUCUUCUCUCUCUACGUCAUUUCCAUCUCCACCUCCUGUCCCAAGGAUGGUAGAGGAUGACAGCAUGAGUGCACCUAGCACCAGUUCUUCUGGAUUGACCCACAGAUCAGCUGAGAGGAAACAUAUGGUAAUUUUGCAACAGAUUUUGUUGCAAACUAAAAAAAACACAGCACUGCUCCAGGCCAUAUACAACAGGCAAAAAGUGGAUGAGGACACCAGCCAGAUGGUGGAAGAUCUGGAUCUUCCCAUCAGAUCAAUGGAAGAUUUCCAAAGAUUAGAAGAUGUACUGCAAGAUCGGUCUUAAUCCAAAGCUCUUGUGAGUUAUGUUCUAUAUAACACUAUGUGUUUGAUAAGAUGACA